AACACAAGUCUCCCAUCCGAGGCAGGCAACCUCCAGGGUGGCAGAAGAGAAGUGUGCAUCCUGCAGACAGGCAGCACAAGAGAGAAGAUGCUGAGACAGUACUGUGGCAUGCCUGCUCAGAUAUAGUCUUAAACUGGUCAAUCAGGUCAAAAGGUAUUUCCACUGAGUAUUCGUUUGCAGGUCUAUGGAGCACAAUUCUGUCAUCACUCCAAACCUAGGAGCACCCCAGGAUUUAACCUGUCAUACCUGAGGAAUUUCUUGAGAUACUGGCGGCUGCAGGAAGACCAUGAAAACACUCCAUUGUUUCCGGGAUGCAGAGGACGGAAGGAUAUAAAUAUGAAUUUCAUCAUUAAUUUAAAUUGUUCUUAAUCUCAUUAUUUAA
rnacentral:lncRNA from 1 species